GACGAACGCUGGCGGCGUGCCUAAUACAUGCAAGUCGAGCGAACAGUCCCGGCGCUUGCUUCUCUGACAUUAGGGACGGACGGGUGAGGAACACGUAGUUAACCUACCUAUAAGACUGGGAUAACUUCGGGAAACCGGAGCUAAUACCGGCUAAUACAUUGAAACACAUGGUUCAAUAGUGAAAGACGGUUUUGCUGUCACUUAUGGAUGGAUCCGCGCCGCAUUAGCUAGUUGGUAAGGUAACGGCUUACCAAGGCAACGAUGCGUAGCCGACCUGAGAGGGUGAUCGGCCACACUGGAACUGAGACACGGUCCAGACUCCUACGGGAGGCAGCAGUAGGGAAUCUUCCGCAAUGGGCGAAAGUCUGACGGAGCAACGCCGCGUGAGUGAUGAAGGUUUUCGGAUCGUAAAACUCUGUUAUUAGGGAAGAACAAAGGUGUAAGUAACUAAGCACGUCUUGACGGUACCUAAUCAGAAAGCCACGGCUAACUACGUG
rnacentral:rRNA from 1 species